rnacentral:rRNA from 1 species
GUAACCGUAGAGUUUGAUCCUGGCUCACGAAGUCGUAACAAGGGAUCCUGCAUAGGUAUUGAGUUGCGAACGGGUGAGUAACGCGUAGGUAACCUGCCUUGUAGCGGGGGAUAACUAUUGGAAACGAUAGCUAAUACCGCAUAACAAUGGAUGACCCAUGUCAUUUAUUUGAAAGGGGCAAAUGCUCCACUACAAGAUGGACCUGCGUUGUAUUAGCUAGUAGGUGAGGUAACGGGCUCACCUAGGCGACGGAUACAUAGCCCGACCUGAGAGGGGGGAUCGGCCACACCUGGGACUGAGACACGGCCCAGACUCCUUACGGGAGGCAGCAGUAGGGAAUUCUUCGGCAAUGGGGGCAACCCUGACCGAGCAACGCCGCGUGAGUGAAGAAGGUUUUCGGAUCGUAAAGCUCUGUUGUAAGUCAAGAACGAGUGUGAGAGUGGAAAGUUCACACUGUGACGGUAGCUUACCAGAAAGGGACGGCUAACUACGUGCCAGCAGCCGCGGUAAUACGUAGGUCCCGAGCGUUGUCCGGAUUUAUUGGGCGUAAAGCGAGCGCAGGCGGUUUGAUAAGUCUGAAGUUAAAGGCUGUGGCUCAACCAUAGUUCGCUUUGGAAACUGUCAAACUUGAGUGCAGAAGGGGAGAGUGGAAUUCCAUGUGUAGCGGUGAAAUGCGUAGAUAUAUGGAGGAACACCGGUGGCGAAAGCGGCUCUCUGGUCUGUAACUGACGCUGAGGCUCGAAAGCGUGGGGAGCGAACAGGAUUAGAUACCCUGGUAGUCCACGCCGUAAACGAUGAGUGCUAGGUGUUGGAUCCUUUCCGGGAUUCAGUGCCGCAGCUAACGCAUUAAGCACUCCGCCUGGGGAGUACGACCGCAAGGUUGAAACUCAAAGGAAUUGACGGGGGCCCGCACAAGCGGUGGAGCAUGUGGUUUAAUUCGAAGCAACCCGAAGAACCUUACCAGGUCUUGACAUCCCGAUGCUAUUUCUAAAGAUAGAAAGUUACUUCGGUACAUCGGUGACAGGUGGUGCAUGGUUGUCGUCAGCUCGUGUCGUGAGAUGUUGGGUUAAGUCCCGCAACGAGCGCAACCCCUAUUGUUAGUUGCCAUCAUUCAGUUGGGCACUCUAGCGAGACUGCCGGUAAUAAACCGGAGGAAGGUGGGGAUGACGUCAAAUCAUCAUGCCCCUUAUGACCUGGGCUACACACGUGCUACAAUGGUUGGUACAACGAGUUGCGAGUCGGUGACGGCAAGCUAAUCUCUUAAAGCCAAUCUCAGUUCGGAUUGUAGGCUGCAACUCGCCUACAUGAAGUCGGAAUCGCUAGUAAUCGCGGAUCAGCACGCCGCGGUGACAAGGUUCCCGUACAGUGUGCUCACGGCUCAGGAAGUCGUAACAAGGUAACCGUAGAGUUUGAUCCUGGCUCAGGAAGUCGUAACAAGGUAACCGUAGAG